rnacentral:rRNA from 1 species
UACAGAGGUCUCAAGCGUUGUUCGGAUUCAUUGGGCGUAAAGGGUGUGUAGGUGGCGCCGUAAGUCGGGUGUGAAAUUUCGGAGCUUAACUCCGAAACUGCAUUCGAUACUGCGGUGCUUGAGGACUGGAGAGGAGACUGGAAUUCAUGGUGUAGCAGUGAAAUGCGUAGAGAUCAUGAGGAAGACCAGUGGCGAAGGCGGGUCUCUGGACAGUUCCUGACACUGAGACGCGAAGGCCAGGGGAGCAAACGGG